GACGAACGCUGGCGGCGUGCUUAACACAUGCAAGUCGAACGGAAAGGCCCUGCUUUUGUGGGGUGCUCGAGUGGCGAACGGGUGAGUAACACGUGAGUAACCUGCCCUUGACUUUGGGAUAACUUCAGGAAACUGGGGCUAAUACCGGAUAGGAGCUCCUGCUGCAUGGUGGGGGUUGGAAAGUUUCGGCGGUUGGGGAUGGACUGGCGGCUUAUCAGCUUGUUGGUGGGGUAGUGGCUUACCAAGGCUUUGACGGGUAGCCGGCCUGAGAGGGUGACCGGCCACAAUGGUCCUGAGAGACGGCCCAGACGCCAACGGGAGGCAGCGGUGGGGAAUAUUGCACAAUGGGCGGAAGCCUGAUGCAGCAACGCCGCGUGCGUGAUGACGGCCUUCUGGUUGUAAACCGCUUUCGCCUGUGACGAAGCGUGAGUGACGGUAAUGAGUAAAGAAGCACCGGCUAACUACGUG
rnacentral:rRNA from 1 species